AUCUAAUGCCCAGUAUAAUUUCAGAGUAUUGCCUUUGAUUGUGUUUGAAGACCUUACGGUGAUACUGUAUGUGGACACCAAGUGAAUGCUAUCUUUCAAAAUAGAUUGUUAUACAGUGUAUGAACCCGCAAUUGAGGACCUGGUUCCUGCUGGGGUUUGUACUGACUCACUUAAAUCUCAACUUAUUUACUUGUGGAUCAAGCUUUAUUUUAUCUCCUGGUUGAGGACAAGACUUUGACAUAAAGGUGUGAUUGGGCAGAUGUAAGAAAGAAAUAUUAUGGUAGCAUCAGGAGGCCAACCCACACAAACAUCUCCCACCACAACCAAGAAUUAAAGCUCUGUAAAAUAAGAGGCAGAACAAUUCCUCACAACUGUACAAUAAGUCAGUACAGUAUGAGGAUUAGUGAACAUCUUCAGGAGAACAUUGUAAUCAAGAUUGAGGUAAAUUGUCAACUCUCCAAGUCUUAAGUUACAAAUAUGGAAGUCAAGUUGGUGUUCUAGGAAACAGUGAGAAAAAAAAGAACGUUCACACAAGUGAAACUUUCUCUUGAAAAUACCAGUUAAAUGAUGCACUGUGUUAUAUAUAGUUUAAAUACAGUAUGAUGAGAGUUGCAAUGUUUUUACCUAAACAACUACCUUGUGACUCUUUUGCUUGUGUACACUGCUGAUAAAAGUUCCAAUAUAUAAAUGUGACAAGUGUUUGUCUGCUGUGCUUGUAUACUGGUGAGACAAAGUUCACUUGUGGUAAAUAUUUCUCAUACAAUAGUGAGCUCAAGAACCACACACAUGUGCAGAAUUAUUUAUGCAAAUUUAGCUGUGAAGAGUGGAUAACUUUUUUAUACAGUACAAAAGUUACCCAAACAUGUGUACAGUGAAGGAAAUAUUUUCUUGUAUGGAGUGUUGUAAAGUGUGUAAAAGAUGGCCCGGUUUAUGAAUCAAAUGGCUGGACAUGGUGGCCAAAAUAAUUAUGAGUGUGUACAGUGUGGUGAAUUAUUUUACUGUAAUGAUUCUAUGAAGAUGCAUACCUGUUUGGC